UAAGACGAACCGAGCGAACGUUGUUCGGAAUCACUGGGCAUAAAGGGUGCGUAGGCGGGCCACCAAGUCUGUGGUGAAAUUCUCUGGCUUAACCAGAGUAGUGCCGCGGAUACUGGGGGCCUCGAGGGGGGUAGGGGCAUGCGGAACUCUGGGUGGAGCGGUGAAAUGCGUUGAGAUCCAGAGGAACUCCGGUGGCGAAGGCGGCAUGCUGGACCUUUUCUGACGCUGAGGCACGAAAGCCAGGGGAGCGAACGGGAUUAGAUACCCCGGUAGUCCUGGCCCUAAACGAUGAGAACUAGGUAGUCGGCCGGACAUGGGCUGACUGCCGGAGCUAAUGUGCUAAGUUCUCCGCCUGGGGAGUAUGGUCGCAAGGCUG
rnacentral:rRNA from 1 species